AUACGUAGGGUGCGAGCGUUAAUCGGAAUUACUGGGCGUAAAGCGUGCGCAGGCGGGUUUGUAAGACAGUGGUGAAAUCCCCGGGCUCAACCUGGGAACUGCCAUUGUGACUGCAAGGCUGGAGGGCGGCAGAGGGGGAUGGAAUUCCGCGUGUAGCAGUGGAAAGCGUAGAUAUGCGGAGGAACACCGAUGGCGAAGGCAAUCCCCUGGGCCUGCACUGACGCUCAUGCACGAAAGCGUGGGGAGCAAACAGGAUUAGAUACCCUGGUAGUCCACGCCCUAAACGAUGUCAACUGGUUGUUGGGAAUUUAUUUUCUCAGUAACGAAGCUAACGCGUGAAGUUGACCGCCUGGGGAGUACGGCCGCAAGGUUAAAACUCAAAUGAAUUGACGGGG
rnacentral:rRNA from 1 species